AAGCGUUAUCCGGAAUCAUUGGGUUUAAAGGGUCCGUAGGUGGAUAUUAAGUCAGAGGUGAAAUCUUGCAGCUCAACUGUAAAAUUGCCUUUGAUACUGGUUAUCUUGAGUUAUUAUGAAGUAGUUAGAAUAUGUAGUGUAGCGGUGAAAUGCAUAGAUAUUACAUAGAAUACCAAUUGCGAAGGCAGAUUACUAAUAAUCAACUGACACUGAUGGACGAAAGCGUGGGUAGCGAACAGGAUUAGAUACCCUGGUAGUCCACGCCGUAAACGAUGGUUACUAGCUGUUUGGACCUUGUGUCUGAGUGGCUAAGCGAAAGUGAUAAGUAACCCACCUGGGGAGUACGUUCGCAAGAAUGAAACUCAAAGGAAUUGACGGGGGCCCGCACAAGCGGUGGAGCAUGUGGUUUAAUUCGAUGAUACGCGAGGAACCUUACCAGGGCUUAAAUGUAAGUUGCAUUAGUUAGAGAUAGCUAUUUCUUCGGACCACUUACAAGGUGCUGCAUGGUU
rnacentral:rRNA from 1 species